GACGAACGCUGGCGGCGUGCCUAAUACAUGCAAGUCGAGCGAAUGGAUUAAGAGCUUGCUCUUAUGAAGUUAGCGGCGGACGGGUGAGUAACACGUGGGUAACCUGCCCAUAAGACUGGGAUAACUCCGGGAAACCGGGGCUAAUACCGGAUAACAUUUUGAACCGCAUGGUUCGAAAUUGAAAGGCGGCUUCGGCUGUCACUUAUGGAUGGACCCGCGUCGCAUUAGCUAGUUGGUGAGGUAACGGCUCACCAAGGCAACGAUGCGUAGCCGCCCUGAGAGGGUGAUCGGCCACACUGGAACUGAGACACGGCCCAGACUCCUACGGGAGGCAGCAGUAGGGAAUCUUCCGCAAUGGACGAAAGUCUGACGGAGCAACGCCGCGUGAGUGAUGAAGGCUUUCGGGUCGUAAAACUCUGUUGUUAGGGAAGAACAAGUGCUAGUUGAAUAAGCUGGCACCUUGACGGUACCUAACCAGAAAGCCACGGCUAACUACGUGCCAGCAGCCGCAGUAA
rnacentral:rRNA from 1 species